GACGAACGCUGGCGGCGUGCCUAAUACAUGCAAGUGGGACGCAAGGACACACACUGUGCUUGCACACCGUGUUUUCUUGAGUCGCGAACGGGUGAGUAACGCGUAGGUAACCUGCCUAUUAGCGGGGGAUAACUAUUGGAAACGAUAGCUAAUACCGCAUAAUAUUAAUUAUUGCAUGAUAAUUGAUUGAAAGAUGCAAGCGCAUCACUAGUAGAUGGACCUGCGUUGUAUUAGCUAGUUGGUAAGGUAAGAGCUUACCAAGGCGACGAUACAUAGCCGACCUGAGAGGGUGAUCGGCCACACUGGGACUGAGACACGGCCCAGACUCCUACGGGAGGCAGCAGUAGGGAAUCUUCGGCAAUGGACGAAAGUCUGACCGAGCAACGCCGCGGGAGGGAAGAAGGGUGUCGGAUCGUAAAGCUCUGUUGUAAGUCAAGAACGUGUGUGAGAGUGGAAAGUUCACAAAGUGACGGUAGCUUACCAGAAAGGGACGGCUAACUACGUG
rnacentral:rRNA from 1 species